GGUUCGGGUGCGGUCUGUCCGCCCAGGAGGCAGGAAGCAGCUGCCCGGCACCAGCUCUCCACCAUUUUUCUACCUUUGCGCAUGGAAAUCUCCAAAAAGGGAUCCAAGAAGCGGCGAGUUGAACUGGGGGUCAUCGGCCUGGAAGAAGCCGGGAAUCGGAGCCCAAGACUUCUUCUAAGGAGGCCCCAGGUCCCUGCGCCCCACUGACCUGGCAGGGAGCCUCGGGCAUUCCUGCUGCUUGAGGUGUAGAAUGUGCCUAAUAGCCAUGGCUAGUGCGUGCUCCCCGAUGGUGAAGGUCUGACAAGGACAGCUGGCUAGUUUUCAGUGUGAAAACACCCCCUCGGUGGACCAAACACAACGACACUGACCUUUCUGCAGGGGAACCAGAGAUGUGCCUUUGACUGAAUUAGCCACAAAGACGUCUUGCUAUGACUUUUGUUCACCACGAAAGCAAAGAAAUAUUGCAUCUAAUAUGAAAAAUACUGUUCCCAGCUUUUCUGUGCCCCUUAAGAAGUAGUACAGUGCUGAAUUACUGGCCCCGUUCUCCAGAAAUGGCUGGACACAAGGCGGGGUGGAGGGGUGGGAUGUGAGAAUGGGACAAGGAGGAGGAGUUGGUAAGUUAAAUUGCCUGCUGCUGUUUCCAAGUUCUCUCUGUGCAGCAGCAAAUUUAUCAAUCUUUUCACCUGACAAUACUUUGAAAUAUAUCAUUGUCAUCCCAAGUUCUUUGAUAGAUUAACUGUAGGAACACAGCCUUUUCCAAGGUCAAGUUGAAGACUCUUGUUUGCUGUUUAACUAAGUUGUUUAAAAACUCAGAACAAUGCCUGCCUGUUAAAUUUUCACUUGUUCUCAUGGGAUAUUGGAAAGCAAAGUUUCCUGUUGACUGAGUGUGUAGACACUUCAUCUUUUUGAGUUAAAUUCAGCAAACGGGAUUAGCAGUGAGAUCAACCCCUUGCAGAUACAGAGGAAAUUAAAGCUCUCUCUUAUCCUUUCAAUCUGUGUACUAAUGUUUAUGUGUGUCAGGGGCUGGUUACAGCCAUACAUAUCAUGGUCAGCUUUCUAAUUUUAUCCCAGUAGGAAGGUACAAAUGUGCUCUUCUAAAGCAGGAAGGCACAGAAAUUGUGGCCACUCCUGUGGGGUUUUGUUGAUUGUUUAACAGAGCAUAACCUGUUGCCUUAAAGCUUCUAUAAAAAUAAAGUCAAUUCAAAACC
ensembl:processed_transcript 1810010K12Rik RIKEN cDNA 1810010K12 gene